rnacentral:rRNA from 1 species
AGAGGGGGCAAGCGUUAUUCGGAAUUAUUGGGCGUAAAGGGCGCGUAGGCGGCCUGGCAAGUGAAAGGUGAAAUCCCUCGGCUUAACCGAGGAACUGCCUUUCAGACUGCUUGGCUUGAGACCGGGAGAGGUGAGUGGAAUUCCCAGUGUAGCGGUGAAAUGCGUAGAUAUUGGGAGGAACACCAGUGGCGAAGGCGGCUCACUGGACCGGUACUGACGCUGAGGCGCGAAAGCGUGGGGAGCAAACGGGAUUAGAUACCCCGGUAGUCCACGCCGUAAACGAUGAGUGCUUGGUGUAGCGGGUAUCGACCCCUGCUGUGCCGAAGUCAACACAUUAAGCACUCCGCCUGGGGAGUACGGUCGCAAGGCUGAA